rnacentral:rRNA from 1 species
CCCCGUAAUCGGAAUGAGUACACUUUAAAUCCUUUAACAAGGAUCCAUUGGAGGGCAAGUCUGGUGCCAGCAGCCGCGGUAAUUCCAGCUCCAAUAGCGUAUAUUAAAGUUGUUGCGGUUAAAAAGCUCGUAGUUGGUUCUGCGUGCCGCGCUGUCGGUUCGCCGCCUGUCGGUGUAACUGGCAUGUUCGCGGCAUGUCCUGUCGGUGGUGAACAGGGUCCACGAUGCUGCAUUUGGCUUUCAAAGGCCGAUGUUAGCGUUGUGUGUACUUUUGUUGGCCGAUCUCUCCUACUUCGGUGCUCUUAAACGAGUGUCGAGGUAGGCCGACACGUUCACUUUGAACAAAUUAGAGUGCUUAAAGCAGGCUGAAAUAUCUGCCUGAAUAGUGGUGCAUGGAAUGAUAAAACAGGACCUCGGUUCUAUUUUGUUGGUUUUAGGAAUAUGAGGUAAUGAUCAAUGUGGACUGGCGGGGGCAUUCGUAUUGCGACGUUAGAGGUGAAAUUCUUGGAUCGUCGCAAGACGCACUAGAGCGAAAGCAUUUGCCAAGUAUGUCUUAAUUGAUCAAGAACGAAAGUUAGAGGUUCGAAGGCGAUUAGAUACCGCCCUAGUUCUAACCAUAAACGAUGCCAGCCAGCGAUCCGCCGAUGUUCCUUUAAUGACUCGGCGGGGAGCUUCUACCCGGGAAACCAAAGCUUUUGGGUUCCGGGGGAAGUAUGGUUGCAAAGCUGAAAC